CCAGGCUCCUACGGGAGGCAGCAGUGAGGAAUAUUGGUCAAUGGGCGAGAGCCCGAACCAGCCAAGUCGCGUGAAGGAUGACGGCCCUACGGGUUGUAAACUUCUUUUGUCAGGGAGCAAUUGGGUCCACGCGUGGGCUUAGCGAGAGUACCUGAAGAAAAAGCAUCGGCUAACUCCGUGCCAGCAGCCGCGGUAAUACGGAGGAUGCGAGCGUUAUCCGGAUUUAUUGGGUUUAAAGGGUGCGUAGGCGGGCUGUUAAACCGGGGGUAAAGGCCGGGGGCUCACCCCCGGCGAGCCGUUGAAACUGGCUGUCUUGAGAUGUCGAGAGGUAUGCGGAAUGCGCAGUGUAGCGGUGAAAUGCUUAGAUAUUGCGCAGAACUCCGAUUGCGAAGGCAGCAUACCGGCGGCGAUCUGACGCUGAGGCAUGAAAGCGUGGGUAUCGAACAGGAUUAGAUACCCCAGUAAAG
rnacentral:rRNA from 1 species